GUUGACGAAGUGGCGAACGCUGUGUCCCUGUUACUUCCAGGUCACUAUUUACUUCGCUCAAACAUGGCGCCUUGUGUCAUCGUGUGGGUUUUUGGAAGCAUUUUAGAUGAGCAAGAAAAGAUGCCUACUCAAAAAAAUGUUGGCAGUGCCAGAAGAUGAUUGGGGUGGCUUCUAAAACAUGCCAACACUGUGGCAGCAAACAGCACCACAAAGAGAGGCUGCAAAAACAAAAAGAAAAAUUUUCCAAGGAAUGGAAAGAGCGUCAAAAGAAGAACAGCAGUGUCAAUAAAGUCUACGGUUCAACAAGUUUGCUGCUUCAUAAAUGGCAGCUUUUGGAGAGGCAUCCCAUCCUCUUCCUGGCCAGGAGAAGGGAAGGAGGAUUUAUGGCAGAGUGCAUGUGUCCAUGGUUAAUUAACACCGAGGACAUGAAGGAUGCUCUUGAUACCACGAAGAAAAUUUAUGAAAGUCUUCUUAACGUAACACCAGCAGUCGAAACUACAGCUGAGAUGGGGGAGAGGCCAGGACCGGGUACUCUUAGCCAGGACCGAGUACUGAGGAUCCACAGCUCAAUGAGGAGAGGGCUGACCAGCCCUAGAGUCCACGCCCUCCAUCACUCCUCCUCUGCUGCCCUUUCAUGCUUUUUGUGAGUCCUCCUCUCCGACUCCUCUCUUGUCCGCUUGUCCCCAGUCCUCCUCUCCGACUCCUCUCUUGUCCGCUUGUCCCCAGUCCUCCUCUCCGACUCCUCUCUUGUCC